rnacentral:rRNA from 1 species
CCUACGUGGGGCAGCAGUGGGGAAUAUUGCACAAUGGGGGGAACCCUGAUGCAGCAACGCCGCGUGGGUGAAGAAGUACUCCGGCAUGUAAAGCCCUGUCAGCAGGGAAGAAAAUGACGGUAACUGACCAAGAAGCCCCGGCUAACUACGUGCCAGCAGCCGCGGGAAUACGUAGGGGGCAAGCGUUAUCCGGGGUUACUGGGUGUAAAGGGAGCGUAAACGGCAAGGCAAGUCUGGAGUUAAAGCCCGGGGCCCAACCACUGGACCGCAUUGGAAACUGUGUUGCUGGAGUGGUGGAGGGGUAAGCGGAAUUCGUAGUGUAGCGGUGAAAUGCGUAGAUAUUAGGAGGAACACCGGUGGCGAAGGCGGCUUACUGGACUGUAACUGACGUUGAGGCUCGAAGGCGUGGGGAGCAAACAGGAUUAGAUACCCCGGUAGUC